UGGGGAAUUUUGGACAAUGGGCGAAAGCCUGAUCCAGCAAUGCCGCGUGUGUGAAGAAGGCCUUCGGGUUGUAAAGCACUUUUGUCCGGAAAGAAAUCCUUGGCUCUAAUACAGUCGGGGGAUGACGGUACCGGAAGAAUAAGCACCGGCUAACUACGUGCCAGCAGCCGCGGUAAUACGUAGGGUGCAAGCGUUAAUCGUAAUUACUGGGCGUAAAGCGUGCGCAGGCGGUUUGCUAAGACCGAUGUGAAAUCCCCGGGCUCAACCUGGGGCAACUGCAUUGGUGACUGGCAGGCUAGAGUAUGGCAGAGGGGGGUAGAAUUCCACGUGUAGCAGUGAAAUGCGUAGAGAUGUGGAGGAAUACCGAUGGCGAAGGCAGCCCCCUGGGCCAAUACUGACGCUCAUGCACGAAAGCGUGGGGAGCAAACAGGAUUAGAUACCCUGGUAGUCCACGCCCUAAA
rnacentral:rRNA from 1 species